UACGUAGGGCGCAAGCGUUAUCCGGAAUUAUUGGGCGUAAAGAGCUCGUAGGCGGUUUGUCGCGUCUGCCGUGAAAGUCCGGGGCUCAACUCCGGAUCUGCGGUGGGUACGGGGCAGACUAGAGUGCGGUAGGGGGAGACUGGAAUUCCUGGUGUAGCGGUGGAAUGCGCAGAUAUCAGGAGGAACACCGAUGGCGAAGGCAGGUCUCUGGGCCGCAACUGACGCUGAGGAGCGAAAGCAUGGGGAGCGAACAGG
rnacentral:rRNA from 1 species